rnacentral:miRNA from 1 species
GGAUCUCACAUGUAGUUGAGAUUGUCCUGGAACUCACUAUGUAGCCCAGGCUGGUCUCAAACUCACAGCAAUCCUCGUGCUUCAGCCUCCGAGUGCUGGGAUUACAGGCAUGCGCCACCAUGCCUG